GCACCGGCUAACUCCGUGCCAGCAGCCGCGGUAAUACGGAGGGUGCGAGCGUUAAUCGGAAUUACUGGGCGUAAAGCGCAUGCAGGCGGCCUGUUAAGUCAGAUGUGAAAGCCCGGGGCGUUAACCUCGGAAUUGCAUUUGUAAACUAGGCAGGCUAGAGUCUUGUAGAGGGGGUAGGAAUUCGGGUGUAGCGGUGAAAUGCGUAGAGAUCUGAAGGAAUACCAGUGGCGAAGGCGGCCCCCUGGACAAAGACUGACGCUCAGAUGCGAAAGCGUGGGGAGCAAACAGGAUUAGAUACCCUGGUAG
rnacentral:rRNA from 1 species